CCUACGGGAGGCAGCAGUGAGGAAUAUUGGUCAAUGGACGAGAGUCUGAACCAGCCAAGUAGCGUGAAGGAUGACUGCCCUACGGGUUGUAAACUUCUUUUAUAUAGGAAUAAAAUGAUCCACGUGUGGCAUUUUGUAUGUACUUUAUGAAUAAGGAUCGGCUAACUCCGUGCCAGCAGCCGCGGUAAUACGGAGGAUCCGAGCGUUAUCCGGAUUUAUUGGGUUUAAAGGGAGCGUAGAUGGGUUGUUAAGUCAGUUGUGAAAGUUUGCGGCUCAACCGUAAGAUUGCAGUUGAUACUGGCAGUCUUGAGUACAGUUGAGGUAGGCGGAAUUCGUGGUGUAGCGGUGAAAUGCUUAGAUAUCACGAAGAACUCCGAUUGCGAAGGCAGCUUACUAAACUGCCACUGACAUUGAUGCUCGAAAGUGUGGGUAUCAAACAGGAUUAGAUACCCCGGUAGUC
rnacentral:rRNA from 1 species